rnacentral:rRNA from 1 species
AGAUUAAGCCAUGCAUGUCUAAGUAUAAACAUUUGUACUGUGAAACUGCGGACGGCUCAUUAAAUCAGUUAUAGUUUAUUUGAUAGUAACUACUACUUGGGUAACCGUGGUAAUUCUAGAGCUAAUACAUGCACUGAAAUCCCGACUUCUGGAAGGGAUGUAUUUAUUAGAUAAAAAACCAACCCGGGCAAACCGGUUCUUUGGUGAUUCAUGAUAACUUUUCGAAUCGCAU